rnacentral:rRNA from 1 species
GAGUUUGAUCGUGGCUCAGAUUGAACGCUGGCGGCAUGCUUUACACAUGCAAGUCGAACGGCAGCACGGGGGCAACCCUGGUGGCGAGUGGCGAACGGGUGAGUAAUGCAUCGGAACGUGCCCAGUAGUGGGGGAUAACACAUCGAAAGAUGUGCUAAUACCGCAUACGCACUACGGUGGAAAGCGGGGGAUCGUAAGACCUCGCGCUAUUGGAGCGGCCGAUGUCCGAUUAGCUAGUUGGUGGGGUAAUGGCCUACCAAGGCAACGAUCGGUAGCUGGUCUGAGAGGAUGAUCAGCCACACUGGGACUGAGACACGGCCCAGACUCCUACGGGAGGCAGCAGUGGGGAAUUUUGGACAAUGGGCGCAAGCCUGAUCCAGCCAUGCCGCGUGAGUGAAGAAGGCCUUCGGGUU